rnacentral:misc_RNA from 1 species
CUCUCUUUCUAACUUUCGGUGGCCAACUCUGUUCCCUUCCCUCGUUCCAUCGGUUCUCUCAAUCUCUGCUAGGCCAUUUCUCUUCGGACAAGGACACCUACCAACCCUCCCAUUGAAUAUAAAAUUAAGAGUGACCGUGAAAGGGAAUCUUUAGAAGAGUUUGUUGGUCUCUUUCUCUCUAUGGCUACACGGUUGUUGUGGGCUUCAAAGGCUGCAUCUUACCUAAGGAUAUCAGUUUUUCACAGA